UACGUAGGGCGCGAAGCGUUAUCCGGAAUUAUUGGGCGUAAAGAGCUCGUAGGCGGUUUGUCGCGUCUGCCGUGAAAGUCCGGGGGCUAACCUCCGGAUCUGCGGUGGGUACGGGCAGACUAGAGUGAUGUAGGGGGAGACUGGAAUUCCUGGUGUAGCGGUGGAAUGCGCAGAUAUCAGGAAGAACACCGAUGGCGAAGGCAGUUCUCUGGGCCGUAACUGACGCUGAGGAGCGAAAGCGUGGGGAGCAAACAGG
rnacentral:rRNA from 1 species